UGGGGAAUCUUGGACAAUGGGCGCAAGCCUGAUCCAGCCAUGCCGCGUGAGUGAAGAAGGCCUUCGGGUUGUAAAGCUCUUUUACCAGGGACGAUAAUGACGGUACCUGGAGAAUAAGCCCCGGCAAACUUCGUGCCAGCAGCCGCGGUAAUACGAAGGGGGCUAGCGUUGUUCGGAAUUACUGGGCGUAAAGCGCACGUAGGCGGAUUGUUAAGUCAGAGGUGAAAUCCCGGAGCUCAACUUCGGAACUGCCUUUGAUACUGGCAAUCUAGAGUCCGGAAGAGGUUAGUGGAAUUCCCAGUGUAGAGGUGAAAUUCGUAGAUAUUGGGAAGAACACCAGUGGCGAAGGCGGCUAACUGGUCCGGUACUGACGCUGAGGUGCGAAAGCGUGGGGAGCAAACAGGAUUAGAUACCCGUGUAGUCCCUGAGCGGGCUGGCAAGGCGCAU
rnacentral:rRNA from 1 species